AUUGAACGCUGGCGGCAGGCUUAACACAUGCAAGUCGAGCGGGGUGAUGGUGCUUGCACUAUCACUUAGCGGCGGACGGGUGAGUAAUGCUUAGGAAUCUGCCUAUUAGUGGGGGACAACAUAUCGAAAGGGAUGUUAAUACCGCAUACGUCCUACGGGAGAAAGCAGGGGAUCACUUGUGAACUUGCGUUAAUAGACGAGUCUAAGUCGGAUUAGGUAGUCGGUGGGGUAAAGGCCUACCAAGGCGACGAUCUGUAGCGGGUCUGAGAGGAUGAUCCGCCACACUGGGACUGAGACACGGCCCAGACUCCUACGGGAGGCAGCAGUGGGGAAUAUUGGACAAGGGGGGGAACCCUGAUCCAGCCAUGCCGCGUGUGUGAAGAAGGCCUUAUGGUUGUAAAGCACUUUAAGCGAGGAGGAGGCUCUUUUGGUUAAUACCCAAGAUGAGUGGACGUUACUCGCAGAAUAAGCACCGGCUAACUCUGUGCCAGCAGCCGCCGUAA
rnacentral:rRNA from 1 species